UAUAGCUCAGUGGUAGGGCACUUACCUAGCAUGCACGGGGACCUGGGUUCAAUCCCCAGUA
rnacentral:tRNA from 1 species